rnacentral:rRNA from 1 species
CCUACGGGAGGCAGCAGUGGGGAAUCUUGCGCAAUGGGCGAAAGCCUGACGCAGCAACGCCGCGUGGGGGAUGAAGGCUCUCGGGUUGUAAACCCCUUUCAGCAGGGACGAAUCAAGACGGUACCUGCAGAAGAAGCCCCGGCUAACUACGUGCCAGCAGCCGCGGUAACACGUAGGGGGCAAGCGUUGUCCGGAUUUAUUGGGCGUAAAGAGCUCGUAGGUGGCUGAGUAAGUCGGAUGUUAAAUCCCCAGGCUCAACCUGGGACACCACCCGAUACUGCUCUGGCUAGAGUCCGGUAGGGGAGCGUGGAAUUCCUGGUGUAGCGGUGAAAUGCGCAGAUAUCAGGAGGAACACCAGCGGCGAAGGCGGCGCUCUGGGCCGGUACUGACACUGAGGAGCGAAAGCGUGGGUAGCAAACAGGAUUAGAUACCCUGGUAGUCCACGCCGUAAACGUUGGGCACUAGGUGUGGGGUCUAUUCAACGGACUCCGUGCCGUAGCUAACGCAUUAAGUGCCCCGCCUGGGGAGGUACGGCCGCGAGGACGUAAACUUAAAGGUAAGUUAGACGGCGUGAGACGUGCCGAACGGACGACGACGAGGGAGUAGG